CCCUUGUGAAGAUGUUAGCGCUCGGACUAUUGUUGCUUGUCUAUCAGAAUUAUUCUCGGUUUUUGGUAUGCCUACGUACAUUCAUUCUGAUCGAGGGUCAGGAUUUAUGAGUGCUGAACUAAAGAGUUUUCUCUUACAGAAGGGUAUUUCAAGUAGUAGAACAACAAGUUAUAAUCCUGCAGGAAAUGGCCAAGUAGAAAAAUUCAAUAGAACGUUGUGGAAAACAGUUUGCCUCGCUUUACGAUCGAAAAAUCUACCCAUUAACCACUGGCAAGAGGUGAUGCUGGAUGCACUCCAUUCGAUUAGGUCCUUGUUAUGUACGGCUACAAACGCUACUCCUCAUGAACGAUUAUUUUCUUUUCAACGUACCACAGCAACCAAACUCAGUUGACUGUGGAGUUUAUGUCAUGAAAUUUGCAGAGAUGUUAAUUAAGGUAACUCCAUGCAGACCAUGCACAGUUAAUAAUCUAAGACUUAUCUUAGUUAUUUGAACAAUGACAUACACAACUACCUGUAGCUUUAUUAAUCAAUGACAGACACUUCAUUUUGUAUUUCCUUUAAAACCUUAGUAUAAAUGUAUAUUAUAUAUUGAAAGUUAGCCUGGAUGUAUUAUUGGUUCUCUCAAAUUGUGAAAAUUUAUCAUCUGCAAUAUGUGUAAGUAUAUAAUAAUUGCAACUUGUGCUAACCUG